AACGCGAAGAACCUUACCCAGGCUCGAAAUACAGAGGGCGAUAUCAGAAAUGGUAUCUUCCGCAAGGACCUCUGCAUAGGUGCUGCAUGGCUGUCGUCAGCUCGUGUCGUGAGAUGUUGGGUUAAGUCCCGCAACGAGCGCAACCCUUGUCCUGUGUUGCCACUCCCCUUAAAAGGAAGCACUCGCAGGAGACCGCCAGCGAUAAGCUGGAGGAAGGUGGGGAUGAUGUCAAGUCAUCAUGGCCUUUAUGUCCAGGGCUACACACGUGCUACAAUGGGCGGUACAAAGCGCUGCAAACCCGCGAGGGGGAGCUAAUCGCAAAAAACCGUUCUCAGUUCGGAUCGCAGGCUGCAACUCGCCUGCGUGAAGCUGGAAUCGCUAGUAAUGGCGUAUCAGAAUGAUGCCGUGAAUACGUUCCCGGGCCUUGUACACACCGCA
rnacentral:rRNA from 1 species